GACGGAGGGUGCAAGCGUUAUCCGGAAUGAUUGGGCGUAAAGCGUCUGUAGGUGGCUUCUUAAGUCCGCUGUCAAAUCCCAGGGCUUAACCCUGGCCAGGCGGUGGAGACUACUAAGCUUGAGUACGGUAGGGGCAGAGGGAAUUUCCGGUGGAGCGGUGAAAUGCGUAGAGAUCGGAAAGAACACCAAGGGCGAAGGCACUCUGCUGGGCCGACACUGACACUGAGAGACGACAGCUAGGGGAGCUAAUGGG
rnacentral:rRNA from 1 species